rnacentral:rRNA from 1 species
CUCGUAGGCGGUUCGUCGCGUCAGGUGUGAAAGUCCAUCGCUUAACGGUGGAUCCGCGCCGGGUACGGGCGGGCUUGAGUGCGGUAGGGGAGACUGGAAUUCCCGGUGUAACGGUGGAAUGUGUAGAUAUCGGGAAGAACACCAAUGGCGAAGGCAGGUCUCUGAGCCGUCACUGACGCUGAGGAGCGAAAGCGUGGGGAGCGAACA